ensembl:lncRNA
AGUCCCACAGUAAUUAAAUCAUGAAUCUUUGGCUUAGUCGUUUUGUUUUAUAUUUUACUCUAUCUUUUCCGUACUUGAUACCAAAUCACUCUUCUCUUUCAGUUUUAUUUGUCCUAAGACUACAGUUGGUCAAUGUCUCAAAUUAUAAAGUAGCUAUAGCAUGGCUUCUUGGUGUAAAUGGCAUUGAGAAGUGGUGGAGACAUUGCUUGUAAGGUUUCUUAAAAUUCAACACUGCUGAAAAUGAAAGCCCUAGAGUUUAAAUGCAAACUAACAUAAGAAGCCUAACAGAUUAUGGAGAGAAUUUAAAAAAUUGUCUUUGAAAAAGAAACUGCUAAUUCUGACAUUUGAGAAAAAUGGGGGAAUGAAUUAAUCUUAUAUAAUAAUUAACGGGUGAACAAUAUUGUGUAUGGUGUGUGUGUAUAUAUAGAGAGAGAUACAUAUACAUUAUUAUAUAUGUGUGUGUAUAUAUAUGUAUAUUUGAGGAUACGAAGAUCACAAGAUAAGAAUCUCAAAUAAGGUGUUCCCAUUGUGGGUUAGUGGGUUAAGGACCAACAUUGUCUCUGUGAGGAUGCAGGUUCCAUCCCUGGCCUUGCUCAGUGGGUUGAGGAGCCGGUGUUGCCGCAAGCUGUGGCAUAGGCCACAGCCAUAGCUCAGAUUUUACCCCUGGCCUGGGAACUUCCAUAUGCUGCAGGAUUGGCCGUAAAAAGAAAAAAUAAAGAAUCUCAAAUAAGUAGAGAUUCCACAUAUGGUUGAUAAAUGAUACCACAGAUUGGGAAGUUAAAGUUUAAAUCCAGAAGCAUAUCAAAGAAAAAGAGUGAUUGGAGUUUCCACUGUGGCACAACAGGAUAGGCAGCAUCUUUGGAGUGCUGGGACACAGAUUCAAUCCCUGGCCCGACACGGUGGGUUAACCCGACGCAGGGGGUUAAGGGUCUUAAGUUGUGGCAGCUGCAGCUGAGAUCUGCUCCCUGGUGCGGGAACUCCAUAUGCUGCAGGGCAGGAAAAAGAGCAAUCACCUUAAAACUGCCAUGAGUUAGAAAUUUAAGUUAAUUUUGUGUGUGUGUGUUUAAGGAAAAACAAAAAGAAACGUAGAACAAGAUCAGGGUUUGAUUUGGUUUAACAGAUAUUUCUUUUGUUCAUUCAUUCAUCCAUUAUUCACGCAACUAACAUUUUUUUAGUUCUUACUUCAUUCCUACUUUUGUGCUUAGGUGUUGGGAAACAUCUAGUUUUUUGGUUUUUUUUUGCCUAAAGAGAGUUGUGAAUCUAGUAAGAGGAACAUCUUGUUAACAAAGGUAUUAUAGUAUACAGUGUAAUACAUUUCUCCCAGGUAGAGAGGGGAGGAAUUUAAUAAAUCUGUGGGAAGAAAGGAAAGGUUAAGGAUGGCUUCCAACCAGUAGGAAGAGCCACAUUUUAAAGGAUAAAUAUGAAUUACUCAGUUAGGUGUAGAGAGGGCAUUCUAGGUAUAGGAAGAUCAUCUGCAAGGGUAUGAAAGUGAACAUAACAUAGCAGGAUGCAUUCGGAGACUGUAAUUUGAAUCAGUAUAGUACUUUCUACCCAUUUGCCUAUGAUUUUCUGUGUCUUUAGUGCUGUAUAAGGGUGGCCUUUGUACUUAGAGAUCAUCAAAAAAAUAAAAGAAUGGAACUCUGUUCAUUAAACUUUACUUAGACAAAAUAAUAUAUUGUUAAAGAUAAUUUCUAAGAUGAAAAUCAAGAAAAUAAUUGGUUAUGUUUUAGUUAUUCAGACAAUUUUUACUAGAAUGCACCCCACUCCUUCAGCGUUUUAGUUAACAAGCCUUGACUAUAAUAAUUAUCCAGCCAAAUUAAAAAAAAAGUAUAAUUGCUUUUUUAAAUAAUGAACAAAUUUCACAGCCUCUACAUUGGUAUGUUUCUCUUCAAUUUGUUGAAAAUCCCAAAUAGUGAUUAAGAUCAUAGAUUCUAAAAUCAGAUUGAGGAGUUCUCUUGGGGCUCAGCAGGUUAAUGAUACAGCUUUGUCACUGCCAUGGCUUAGGUCACUGAUGAGGCAUGGGUUUGAUAUCUGGCCCAGGAACUUCCAUAUGCCGUGGAUAUGGCCAAAAAGAAAAUAAAUGAAUAAAUAAAUAAAGUCAGAUUAAGUAGGCUCAAAUUCCAGUUUUGCUACUUGCUGACUAUGUGGUCUUUAGCAAAAUAUGUGUGGUCUUUUGAGUCCUUGACUAUAAAAUGAUAAUACUUAAUAGCAAGAGGCUAUUGGAAGAUUGUAUGAAAUAAUAUGUAUAAGUACUCAGCAUAAUUUAUGUUGGGUAGCAAGUGUGUAAUACAGAUUUGUUAUUAUUAAUUUUUCUUCUUCAUUUCCUGAAAAGAGGAAAUUUUUUUUGGCAAAGCAAAUGACUUCCUUUACAUAUAUUUCCUGUAGGAGAUAAGAAUAUGUAAAAUACAUUUGUGGAGUUCCUGUCUCGGAUUCGUUAACUACUGCGCCACGAUGGGAACUCCUGUAUCUUUUCUUUAUGGAAUAAUGUUGCAUGUAAGAGAUGUUAAUCUUUUUUCAUGUUUAUCAUAUUUUCUCCCAAUCUGUUGUUUUUUCUUUUUUCAACUUAUUUUUUAUUCUCCCAAUCUAUUAUCUUUUGAUUUUGUUCACGUCUUACAUUAUAGGUAUAUAAUACUUUUACGUAAUCAAGUUUGCCAGUAUUUUCCUGUAUGGUUUCUGGUUUCCUGAUUUGCUUAAGAAUGUUUUUCG